rfam:Camelus ferus unplaced genomic scaffold scaffold597, whole genome shotgun sequence.
GAGGGUAUAGCUCAGUGGUAGAGCACAUGCUUAGCAUGCACAAGGUCCUGGGUUCAAUCCCCAGUACCUCCU